rnacentral:lncRNA from 1 species
UCAGUGACUGGUAAGGAGGAAGUUGUUUUAAAAACCAGUACUCCAAGACAAAAAGCAUCUAAAGCCAGGAAAACAAACCUACCAUCCAACCAUCUUCAAAAGACAUCUCAAGAUCAAAAGGAGAAAAAGAAAUGUGAUGCAGGACAUAGACCUGCACAUUCAGGAUGUGCUCCUACGAAAACAGCAGAGGAAGCCCAGCAAGGGGAACAGCUUAACAAAGUCCUCAGAAACAAAUCAAGGGCAUUUCCUGAACCCUUUGAGAAAGAGCUACCACCUAGCAUCUCUAAAGCAAAUGCCCACUUGAAGGAGAGAACCUGCCACACAUUUGAUGAAAAUGAACAGAAGUGAAAAUAAAGGCUAUUUUCCGGGAGAUUCCAUGGCAACGUUUGAGAAGUGUGCUGCAGACACAAGUGCUGAGCCACCAGUGAAGCAGAGCUGUGCUCGCCAACUCCAUCAGGACGGACAAAGCCCUGCAAAGAGCACAUCUAAAGAAAAG